rnacentral:rRNA from 1 species
UACAGAGGGUGCGAGCGUUGUCCGGAAUCACUGGGCGUAAAGGGCGCGUAGGCGGCCUGAUAAGUAGGGGGUGAAAUCCUGUGGCUUAACUGCAGGGCUGCCUCCUAGACUGUUAGGCUCGAGCACGGUAGAGGCAGAUGGAAUUCCCGGUGUAGCGGUGGAAUGCGUAGAGAUCGGGAAGAACAUCGGGUGGCGAAGGCGGUCUGCUGGGCCGUUGCUGACGCUGAGACGCGAAAGCUAGGGGAGCGAACAGG